ACCUAUGCAGGGGAAUAACCUCGGGAAACUGAGUAUAAUGCCCCAUAGUCCACUACGCCUGGAACGGUGAGUGGAUCAAAGCUCAGGCGGCAUAGGAUGGGCCUGCGGCGUAUCAGGUUGUAGGGGGUGUAAAGUACCCUCUAGCCAUCUACGCGUACGGGUGUUGGGAGACAUAGCCCGGAGAUGGAUUCUGAGACACGAAUCCAGACCCUACGGGGUGCAGCAGGCGCGAAAACUUGACAAUGCGAGCAAUCGUGAUCAGGGAACUCCAAGUGGCUGGGGUAAGACCCAGUCUUUUCAUAACUCUUCAAAGGUUGUAGAAUAAGGGGUGGGUAAGGACGGUGCCAGCCGCCGCGGUAAUACCGGCGCCUCAAGUGGUAGUCGCUUUUAUUGGGCCUAAAACGUCCGUAGCCGGUUUGGUACAUUCGUGGGUAAAUCAACUCGCUCAACGAGUUGAAUUCUGCGAGGACGGCCAGACUUGGGACCGGGAGAGGUGUGGGGUACUCUCAGGGUAGGGGUAAAAUCCUGUCAUCCUGAGAGGACCACCUGUUGCGAAGGCGCCACACUAGAACGGAUC
rnacentral:rRNA from 1 species